UACGGAGGGUGCGAGCGUUGUCCGGAAUCACUGGGCGUAAAGGGCGCGUAGGCGGCCUGAUAAGUAGGGGUGAAAUCCUGCGGCUUAACCGCAGGCUGCCUUCUAACUGUCAGGCUAGAGCACAGUAGAGGCAGGUGGAAUUCCGGUGUAGCGGUGGAAUGCGUAGAGAUCGGAAGAACAUCAGUGGCGAAGGCGGCCUGCUGGCUGUUGCUGACGCUGAGGCGCGACAGCGUGGGAGCAACAGG
rnacentral:rRNA from 1 species